UUUAAUGUAGUGUGUGUGUAUGCAUUUUACAUUUUGGUUGUAAAGGUGAUUAGUAAUCCGUUAAAU
rnacentral:tRNA from 1 species